rnacentral:lncRNA from 1 species
AACAAGUUAAUCUGUAUUUAAUUUGCAGAUGAAAACUUAAAAGACAAUCUAUCAUCAGCAGUUUUGACUUCACAACCGAUAAAACUUGAAGUGGCAAGUCUAAGAUGUGGCUACAUAAACGAUUAGCUUAAUACGGUCUCCAACUCUCCAUAGAAGGAAUGAAAUGCCACCUUAAACUUUCCUUGAGUUACAUGUUUUCCUCUUAUCUGACGACACUGUCCAGUCCAAUGAAGAAGCGUGGUCCGCCAAACCACUCCUGUUUCUGCUUCUUGUCAUAGAGUAGGGGCGCCUCUGGCUGGAGAAUUUACACCUCUGGCAGUGGACAUGUUGGUGGGGUAUCUUGAUCUUCUCUGGGGACAUGGUUUCUGGAAAACCGAAAGUUUCAACUUUCAGCUAACAGUGUGCUAUGACCCCUCUACAAAAAGCCCUCAGAGCUAACCCCAUCAACUGACAAAAAAACCACAGAAGAAGAAGAAGAAGUUACCAUCCUCGUUUAUCACCCCUAAUUUUUU